GCUGCCAUGUUGGCAGCAGCUCUGUGGAAAGGCCCAUGUGGCAAGGAAUUGAGAAAUCUUGCCAACAGCCCAUGAGAAACUGAGGCCUCAAGUCCACAGCCAGAAUCUUAAAUGCUUGUGUGCAGCCACCAUCCUGACAAAUGAUUCAACAAAUGAUUCAAAGAGAAAAACCAGAAUACAAUUAUUUUGAUAGACACGUAAAACUGAAAAUCAAAUAUCCACAGAUGAAACUUCACCUUCAAGGAAAAUCGCCAACAGUGGUAAAGAGCUGCACAACACUUGAAGUUUUCUCCUGCAGCUUUGAUUGAACAAGCACCAGUAGGAGGGACUAAAAAUAAA
rnacentral:lncRNA from 1 species